rfam:Eubacterium limosum KIST612, complete genome.
GGGGACGUAAAGGUUUCGACGGGGAUGUUGAAGCUUGAGUAGCGAGCCGAUGCGCUGAUCAUCGUUAAAAGUGGCACUUAAAUAUAAACGCAAAAGAAAACAGAAGUUACGGUAUGGCUUUAGCUGCUUAAUUGCAGUCUAAACCCGUAUUAAGACUUACCGCAGCAUAAUAAUUGCUGCACGCUCCUCCAUUUAACCUGCGAUUUGGAGAUCAGCGUUCAUAACAGCAGGGAACCGUUUGAGGAAGGGCCUCGGUCCGCAAACGCAUAAGAGGCUAGUUCUACAGGAUCUUUGUCAUUGGAGAUCCCGCAGGGCGAAUAUUAAUCAAUGACUGUGCUCGGAGAAGCUCCUGUGAAUGCAUUUUCGGACGUGGGUUCGACUCCCACCGUCUCCACCA